AGAAGCGGGGCCAAAGUUUGUCUUCUUGCCCUUCUUCCUUGUCAACAUAUAAACGGCAUAAUAUUCUAAUAUGACUAGUCGUCGGUAAAUUAUCGCACUUAGUGCACAACUGUGCAUCGUAAGAAAGACCUGACACUUUAGUUAAAGGGGGAGGAGUGUGCAAGACUGGAGUUUGUGCUCAGGCACUUGGCGACGUGUCAGCGAGGGCGAAGAAGUGCAGCCGGACAGACAGAGGAGAGCUUAAUUUUGGCCAGGUACCAAAGCAAAUCAGUCGUACUGUACAAAUAAUGUAAAUAUGACGGUUUAUCACAGAAGAUAUCAAACUGAUCACUUGACCCAUAUUACGUUACUUGCUCUUCGAGUGAAUCAACAAAUGGCGAAAUGAAAAGCCGAACAACAACAAUGCUGUUUCUUUAGAGAGUCUUAGCUUACAUGUGUGUUUAUUUCAUAUUUUCAGUUGUUAAAAUAACAUCUACCUGAGUUUUUUCUUUGAAAGAAGCCCCUUAUGUCCAUUGUUGUGUUUAUCAGUACAUAACUGAAACCGAUUUACAGGGCUUUGUUUAGCGGUGGAGGGUAACAACUGAAAAUAUGAAAUAAACAUACAUGUAAGGCAAGACUCUCUAAAAAAAAAAAAAAAAAACCCGCAUUGUUGUUCAGCCUUUCAUUUCUCUGCCUGGUUGCCCUUGUUUCUCCUCGCUCAUAUGCGGAAGUGCUGUACUCAGUCGCCUAGUGCCUGAGACUGUGAUCAAGUCGUUCCAGUAGUCAUAUUAGAAUAUUAUGCCGUUGGCGUAAUAUACGUUGACAAGGAAGAAGGGCAAGAAGACAAUCUUUGGUCCCGCUUCUAAAAGCUGAAACAGAAGAAAAUAAGAAAAGGAUCAUUAUCUUCAUCUGCAUUAUCAAUAAAGAAUUGAAGCUGAAAUGGAUGGACGCGGUGGAGAUGCAACUCCGCUCUAUAUCCUGCGUGUCGGUUAGUCGUUUCGUUACCACCUCAUCUACGACGAGACUCGCGGACUGGCUGUGAUCCUUUACUGUGACAGAGAGAACCCUGCUGCGAUAUUCCUCCAGACAAUGAUGAUGGAGUUCUUCAGAAACUGGAUUCACAGGCCCGAGUGACCAAGACCAUCAGUGACCUGUGUUCGCACAGCCUCCAUGCAGAGCUGGGAAUCUGGGGCCUUCAGCAUCCAGCAGUGCCUGCACAGAUUAAACAUUGUUGAUGUUGUUUAAAGUUCGAUAAUGAAUUCAUUAAAAUAAAUAAUUAAAGGCUACCUUUCCUUGUUACUAUUUCCCACAUUGAUUUUUAACCUGCACAGGGUCCUUCAAUAGAGCUCUUAGAUUUUCAAAAGCUGUAUGUAUCAGUUUAAAAAACACAGUGAGUGAGCGAUGGGGAAGCCAGAUUUGAAUGACCAAAAUAACCAAAUUUGAUAAUAAAAUAAUAUUGAUAUUUGAUAAAACAAAACCAAUAUUCUCUCCCAAU
ensembl:lncRNA